UACGUAGGGUGCAAGCGUUAAUCGGAAUUACUGGGCGUAAAGCGUGCGCAGGCGGUUACAUAAGACAGAUGUGAAAUCCCCGGGCUCAACCUGGGAACUGCGUUUGUGACUGUGUGACUAGAGUACGGCAGAGGGGGGUGGAAUUCCUGGUGUAGCAGUGAAAUGCGUAGAUAUCAGGAGGAACAUCGAUGGCGAAGGCAGCCCCCUGGGCCUGUACUGACGCUCAUGCACGAAAGCGUGGGGAGCAAACAGG
rnacentral:rRNA from 1 species